rnacentral:rRNA from 1 species
UGACAUGGAGCGAACCCCAAAAAUAACGUCUCAGUUCGGAUUGUAGUCUGCAACUCGACUACAUGAAGCUGGAAUCGCUAGUAAUCGCGGAUCAGAAUGCCGCGGUGAAUACGUUCCCGGGUCUUGUACACACCGCCCGUCACACCAUGGGAGUCAGUAACGCCCGAAGUCAGCGACCCAACCGUAAAGGAGGGAGCUGCCGAAGGCGGGACGGAUAACUGGGGUGAAGUCGUAACAAGGUACC